rnacentral:rRNA from 1 species
UACGGAGGGGGCUAUCGUUGUUCGGAAUUACUGGGCGUAAAGCGCACGUAGGCGGACUGGAAAGUCAGGGGUGAAAUCCCGGGGCUCAACCCCGGAACUGCCUUUGAAACUCCCAGUCUUGAGGUCGAGAGAGGUGAGUGGAAUUCCGAGUGUAGAGGUGAAAUUCGUAGAUAUUCGGAGGAACACCAGUGGCGAAGGCGGCUCACUGGCUCGAUACUGACGCUGAGGUGCGAAAGCGUGGGGAGAAAAAAGG